rnacentral:lncRNA from 13 species
AUGACGGGUGGAGCCAUACCAGAAAGGUCUGCCUAGAGGUCCCCAGUAACAGGUGCUAGCACCAGCACUGGGAGAAAAUUCAGUGGGCAACCACCAAGUGCCCAGAAGUUUGCCUAGGCAUUAAGCUGCUAAGUCUUGGCUCAAAGUUCUCUGUAUGGUGAUAUGGAAACUGCCUAUACUUCUGAUCUAGGAAUCAACUCCAAGCCUUUCCCCAAGUUAACUCCAGGACGAGGAAGAAGCAAAGUGCUCUCCCUCAGUCUGAGUUAUUCAGAUGCCCCAUGGAAAGGGACAUGGAUGAAGCUGGAAACCAUCAUCCUCAACAAACUAACACAAGAACAGAAAAUAAACACCACAUGUUCUCACUUAUAAGUGAGAGUUGAGCACUGAGAACACAUGGACACAGGGAGGGGAACAUCACACACC